rnacentral:rRNA from 1 species
CUACGUAGGGUGCGAGCGUUGUCCGGAAUUACUGGGCGUAAAGAGCUCGUAGGUGGUUUGUCGCGUCGUCUGUGAAAUUCCGGGGCUUAACUCCGGGCGUGCAGGCGAUACGGGCAUAACUUGAGUACUGUAGGGGAGACUGGAAUUCCUGGUGUAGCGGUGAAAUGCGCAGAUAUCAGGAGGAACACCGGUGGCGAAGGGGGGUCUCUGGGCAGUAACUGACGCUGAGGAGCGAAAGCAUGGGUAGCGAACAGGAUUAGAUACCCUGGUAGUCCAUGCCGUAAACGGUGGGCGCUAGGUGUAGGGGUCUUCCACGACUUCUGUGCCGUAGCUAACGCAUUAAGCGCCCCGCCUGGGGAGUACGGCCGCAAGGCUAAAACUCAAAUGAAUUGACGGGG